ensembl:lncRNA
CGCAUGUGGGCGCCAUGUUUGUGAAAGCUCGUGUGUUUGGUUGAGAUUAUGGGAAGAUAUACUCCCUCGGCUCAUGAACCAUCAGCCUACCACAUCCAAAAGCAGGCCUCAAAAAGUAAUGACAUUUUGUAGAUUGGAAGAAAAGUCACUUGCAGAAUGCUGAAAACCUUCUAUUGAUUUCCAUUAAGAAUGCAAUCAAACAUCCCAUGAUGUCUGAUACGUGAGCUAGGGAACUUCUGCAAGGAAAUCACUCUGAAUCAACUGGCUAAACCCAAGAAUCAAGUCCUAUAUCAAGUCUGGACAGUAGGGAGCCAUGAAUCGAUCCUGAUAUUAGCCCUGAGUCGAUGGUUAUAAGCUGUGAAUCAACUCUCUGCUUGUUCGUGAGUCGAUUGUGUGAACCAUGAAUCUCCCCGGAGCAAGAGCUCGGCUGGCUGCCUCAGGGCCAAAACCUUCUCGUCCCAGUAAGCCAAGGCAAGAGUUAUAGGACGUGACAGAGAGCGGGAGAGAAAGGUAUGAAGCGUUGAAUAUUUUGGCAGGUCGUCUAGAGGUGGAAUGGACGAUUCUGUUCACGUACGCUUCUCUCUCUUAUUCCUCACUCCACGCUUCAUUCCUACUCUUGGCAGUCUCACCCUGGCCUGUCCAUCAGCAUGUUGCUGUGGCGAUGGGUGGUGAUAAACCUCGUUGGGUUUCCUCCGUGCUCAGGCAAUAAAACAGAAUUAAAAUAUUAAAUCUGUCCACCGACCCCCCUUGUAAAUAAAGCCAUAAAUUGCCACUCGUCUCAUAAAUGGAAGAGAGACAGAAGAUGGAGGUUUAUGGGGAGGUGGUGCCGAUAUGGCAGUUUCGCACCCUGAUGGCCAUCACUCCUUUCUACAUCUCCUUUUCAUUUCUCCAGCAACUCUUGGCCGACAAGAUGCUAACGGGUGAAGGUCAUAGCGUUGUGUCAUAUGCAUUAUUAACAGUCUGUAGAGAGCUUUGCUUGUUCUCACUGUGACUGUAUGAUCUACAUAACAUUGCUACAGUACAUUAAAAUGUUUCAUAUGGUAUAUCUGACUUGGUGUUCUGUAAACAUUCCUGUUCCC